CGCUAGAGAGGAGGGGCUCGCUGAGGGGCGUGGCUUAGAGUCCGGCGGCCGCACAGAGGACGCCGGGGGGCGGGGCCUAGCGGGAAGGGGCGGGCCGAGCACUGCCCGCGGGCGGCGGUCACUGAAGCGGGUGGGCCGGGCGGCUGACCUAGGGGCCGACGGGCGGCUGGGCGGACAGCUGUAGACUGCAACACGGCGCAGUGUCCGCCGCCAUGACAGAUCAGACCUACUGUGAUCGCCUAGUGCUGGACACGCCUUUCCUGACUGGCCAAGGGCGCCUGAGUGAGCAUCAGGUGGACAGGAUCAUCCUCCAGCUGAACCGUUACUACCCACAGAUCCUUACCAACAAGGAGGCGGAAAAGGUGCUGAGGAGUUCCGAAACCCCAAGGCAUCCCUGCGUGUGCGGCUCUGUGACCUUCUGAGCCACCUGCAACAGAGUGGUGAGCGGGACUGCCAGGAGUUCUACCGAGCCUUGUACAUCCAUGCCCAGCCCCUGCACAGCUGCCUGCCCAGCCGCCACACUCUGCAGAACUCAGAUUGUGCAGAGCUAGACUCAGGCAGCAAGCGCAACGAGCUGAGUGACAGGGGACCCAUAAGCUUCCUGGCUGGCCUCAGCCUGGCCGUAGGAUUGGCCCUCCUGCUCUACUGCUACCCUCCAGACCCCAAAGUGCUGCCCGGGGCCCGGCGCGUCCUUGGCUUCUCGCCCGUCAUUAUUGACAGACAUGUUAGCCGCUACCUGCUGGCCUUCUUGGCAGAUGAUCUUGGGGGACUCUGAUGGACCCAGAGCCCCCAGCUUUGCCUGCUGCUCAACCAAAGAAUCCCCCAGCUGGCCCACCGAGGGGGCCAGAGCUUCUUUUUCUAAAUGCUUAUUUUUCAUUAUUUAUAAUUUGUAUAAGAAGCAUACCUUCACCUUAAAAGGUGCUUAAUAAUAUUAAAUGUUCAAGUUCUCUCA